rnacentral:tRNA from 1 species
GGCACUAUGGCCGAGUGGUUAAGGCGACAGAUUCGAAUUCUUCGAACCAUCUGUUUCCCUCUGGGAGCGCAAGUUCAAAUCUUGCUGGUGUCG